UACGUAGGGUGCGAGCGUUGUCCGGAAUUAUUGGGCGUAAAGAGCUUGUAGGCGGUUUGUCGCGUCUGCUGUGAAAAUCCGGGGCUCAACCCCGGACUUGCAGUGGGUACGGGCAAACUAGAGUGUGGUAGGGGAGACUGGAAUUCCUGGUGUAGCGGUGAAAUGCGCAGAUAUCAGGAGGAACACCGAUGGCGAAGGCAGGUCUCUGGGCCACUACUGACGCUGAGGAGCGAAAGCGUGGGGAGCGAACAGG
rnacentral:rRNA from 1 species